GCAGACACAUUCCAGCCAAUCAGCAGCAGACCCUCCCUCCCAGACUCUCCCACCUCCUAGACAGCUCACUAAGAAUGCAGCUUCACAAUGAAUGUAAAAUGGAUGCUGUCCAGGAGGUGGGAGGGCCUGGGAGGGAGGGUCUGCUGCUGAUUGGCUGGAAUGUGUCUG
rnacentral:miRNA from 1 species